CAUUACCGAGUGCGGGCCCCUCGGGGCCCAACCUCCCACCCGUGUUGCCCGAACCUAUGUUGCCUCGGCGGGCCCCGCGCCCGCCGACGGCCCCCCUGAACGCUGUCUGAAGUUGCAGUCUGAGACCUAUAACGAAAUUAGUUAAAACUUUCAACAACGGAUCUCUUGGUUCCGGCAUCGAUGAAGAACGCAGCGAAAUGCGAUAACUAAUGUGAAUUGCAGAAUUCAGUGAAUCAUCGAGUCUUUGAACGCACAUUGCGCCCUCUGGUAUUCCGGAGGGCAUGCCUGUCCGAGCGUCAUUGCUGCCCUCAAGCCCGGCUUGUGUGUUGGGCCCCGUCCCCCCCGCCGGGGGGACGGGCCCGAAAGGCAGCGGCGGCACCGCGUCCGGUCCUCGAGCGUAUGGGGCUUCGUCACCCGCUCUAGUAGGCCCGGCCGGCGCCAGCCGACCCCCAACCUUUAAUUAUCUCAGGUUGACCUCGGAUCAGGUAGGGAUACCCGCUGAACUUAAGCAUAUCAAUAAGCGGAGGAAAAGAAACCAACCGGGAUUGCCCUAGUAACGGCGAGUGAAGCGGCAAGAGCUCAAAUUUGAAAGCUGGCCCCCUCGGGGUCCGCAUUGUAAUUUGCAGAGGAUGCUUCGGGAACGGCCCCCAUCUAAGUGCCCUGGAACGGGCCGUCAUA
rnacentral:rRNA from 1 species